UACAAUAUUUUGACUCUUCAUCUUAUUUACAAUUUUUUUACGAUUAAUAUUUUUAUUCUUAUUAGACGAUAAAACAUAAAUAGUACUUUACGUGUGACUAAUUUUUUAAAGUUUUUUAUAAAUUUUUCAAAUAAGACGAAUGGUUAAACGUUGGAAAUGAAAA
rnacentral:pre_miRNA from 1 species